UGCAGCUGGUUGUGGAGUCG
rnacentral:misc_RNA from 1 species